rnacentral:rRNA from 1 species
ACGAACGUUAGCGGCGCGCCUAACACAUGCAAGUCGCACGAGAAAGGGCUUCGGCCCCGGUACAGUGGCGCACGGGUGAGUAACACGUGGGUAACCUUCCCUUUGAUGGGGAAUAACCUUCCGAAAGGGGGGCUAAUUCCGCAUAAGACCACGCGGACGAAAGUUUGCGGGGUAAAAGCCGGCCUCUAUAUAUAAGCUGGCGUCAGAGGAUGGGCCCGCGUCCCAUCAGCUAGUUGGUAGGGUAAUGGCCUACCAAGGCAAAGACGGGUAACUGGUCUGAGAGGAUGAUCAGUCACACUGGAACUGAGACACGGUCCAGACUCCUACGGGAGGCAGCAGUGGGGAAUUUUGCGCAAUGGACGAAAGUCUGACGCAGCGACGCCGCGUGGGUGGUGAAGGCCUUCGGGUUGUAAAGCCCUGUGGGGAGGAAAGAAUAAGCCUUGGCUAAUAUCCAAGGUGAUGACGGUACCUCCUUAGCAAGCACCGGCUAACUCUGUGCCAGCAGCCGCGGUAAGACAGAGGGUGCAAACGUUGUUCGGAAUUACUGGGCGUAAAGCGUGUGUAGGCGGCUACAAAAGUCGGACGUGAAAGCCCCGGGCUCAACCCGGGAAGUGCGCUCGAUACUGUGUGGCUAGAGUUUCGGAGAGGUUGGUGGAAUUCUCGGUGUAGAGGUGAAAUUCGUAGAUAUCGGGAAGAACACCGGCGGCGAAGGCGGCCAACUGGACGAAAACUGACGCUGAGACACGAAAGCGUGGGGAGCAAACAGGAUUAGAUACCCUGGUAGUCCACGCCGUAAACGAUGGGUGCUAGUGUUACUGGGUUUGACUCCGGUAGCGCCGUAGCCAACGCAUUAGCACCCCGCCUGGGAAGUACGGCCGCAAGGCUAAACUCAAAGGAAUUGACGGGGCCCGCACAAGCCGUGGAGCAUGGGGUU